AAAGCAACUGAUAUGGAUGUAGAAGAAGUGCCAAGUGAAGCUUCAGGGAAGAAGAGCAAGAAAAAGAAAUCAAAAGCUAAUGUGAAUGGCGAAGUUGAAGACAGGCCAAGUGCGACUGAAAACGGUGAUGUUUCAGAGGAUACAAAAUCAGAAAAGAAGAAAAAGAAGGAGAAGCGAAAGUUGGAUAGGGAAACAGAGGAGCAGCAGCAGGCUGCAGAAAUCGUAAAUGGAGUAAACGGGGAGGAGGAAUCUGGCAAGAAGAAGAAGAAAAAGAAGAGCAAGGAUGAAAAUAAGGGGGAUGAUCAUGUUGCUGCAGAAGAUGGUAAGAAGAAAAAGAAGAAAAAGUCGAAAAACGAAGAUGCCGAAUAGCUUGCGAACCCACAGUAACAUGGAGACAGAUGGUUAUUAAUAUAGGUAGACAUCGUUUUGUUGCUAUAAUAUUCUAGCUGUAGAAAUGCCCCUUGUGGCUUGUUUUUGGUCUCCGACCUCUAUAUUUUUGUCCAUCAGCAAAACUUAUGCCAAUAUGCGUAUGUUGCCGUAUUGUCUUA
rnacentral:misc_RNA from 1 species